GAGUGAAGUAAGGUCGACCUGACUGCCCCCAGGAGCUCCUUGUGCAGCGAGCCCAUGGAUUUCCCUCCGAAUCCUGUGGAAGCCGCUGGGUCUCCGAGGACCAGGCCUUCUUUCUGAGGAGAGCAGCUGCUUGUCUUUAAAGCAGCUCAGCAGGGGAAGGACUAUUUGCAUUGGGCUUUGUUUAAUUUGCCCCGAGCCCAGCGCACUGAGUCCAUUUGCCGUCACAUUAUCUAAGACAGCUCCAGAGAUUCUCAUCCUAGGAUCAAUUCCAUUCCCGAGUGACAUCCACUUAACACCCAGGGCCCCGUGCUUUUAGCUGAAUAAAGGUCAGGCCAUCCGCCGUCUGGGUGGCCGCCCAUCAUCGCAACGGACAACAGGCCACUGGGGAAAGGUUAAUGGAUGCAAAGCUCCAGACUCACCUCCACAAGCAGGGCGUUCGCUUGGGAAACACCAUCUUGCUGGGGAUCAAGGCCGUCCUUUGCCAGAAAUCUCCGCUCUGAAGAUCUGCAGAUGUGUGAACCCCGCACCCAGUGGAAGUGGAGACGGGCUGAGAGGAGGACUCUGUCCUUGGAGCCGGCUGGGAGAUUCUAGAACAGAUGGGACGUGGUACAAGGCGGGCUGCCUCAGGCGGAGCCUCGGUUUCCCUGUCGCAGAGACGGCGUCCCCACAUGGGUCCUUUCUGUCCCCAAAUCCAU